AACGUAGGGGGCGAGCGUUGUCCGGAAUUACUGGGCGUAAAGCGUGCGCAGGCGGUUUGUUAAGCGAGAUGUGAAAGCCCCGGGCUCAACCUGGGAACCGCAUUUCGAACUGGCAAACUAGAGUCUUGUAGAGGGGGGUAGAAUUCCAGGUGUAGCGGUGAAAUGCGUAGAGAUCUGGAGGAAUACCGGUGGCGAAGGCGGCCCCCUGGACAAAGACUGACGCUCAGGCACGAAAGCGUGGGGAGCAAACAGG
rnacentral:rRNA from 1 species